UGCAGCAGUGGUGAAAGUCAGAUUUGUCAUCUUUGGAAUAUAUCACUUGCUAUCAAAUAUUAAUUUAAAAAAUGUCUGUCUCACUAGAUUGACAGUCUGUUUGUCUUGAAAACAUUUCAUCAUAGAGGAAAUUUAGUUGCCUUUGACCUCGCAGUUCUGGACAUCCACCAUGGAGCAUUUUAUAUUUAAGGGUGUUCAGGCUGUAGAGAGAAGGUCAUUCCAGCAUUUGGGAGGUAUAGCGUAGAAGAGUUGGGUGGAGUGCUAACCGGAGAAGGAAGGGCCAAGCAAGAGAGGGAAGCAGAGCGUAGAGUACGAGCGGCGUGCAGAGCUGGAGCAUCGCCUGGAGUCACAUUUAACAAGCAACAUUCCUCCCUCCUCAACAAUUGGACUGCAUCAGUUCCUGCUAUCUCCCCAUCCGAAGAAGGUGCCGAGCGAGCUGAGAAGGGGCCAGCCUGUGCACGGGCAUUUGUAUGGGGGAAGGGCAUGUCUGCUGGCAAUGAGGGUGAGUAGAUCAGUGCUGCUCAGUGUCUGUGAGGCGGUGAUAAGAUUCCAGGAUUUUCCUAGUGUGACAGGCCUGAUCACCAAGCCGUACACCCCUCUGCAUGAAGACAACUGCAACCACCACCACCACCACCUGACAUCCCUGAACCCCUGGGCUGCUACACCUCAGCAGGCAGGAGCCACAGUCACCUGCAGCCACACCCAAACCCUCCUCACUCAAACUGAAAAUCUUAAUCUGACGAAUUUUUCUGUCUCGGGUGUAAAUGCAAAAUUAAAGCACAUGAAUGAAUUUCUACUUUACAGUCGUAUGCGUCUACACUAUACACUAGUCGUGUUGUCUCGUUCUUUCUCUCUGGCUCACUUCUCUUUCUUUAUCUCUGCCUCCUCAGUCCCCCCUCCCCACUCCCUCUCCCUUGGAUGGCAGGUCAGGCAGUGAGCUGUGCGGGCUCAGAGGAGGUAAGGACGCCGCGGUGCACAUUAAUAAUGAAAGGCCUCAGCCACCCCCCCAGACACACACACACACACACACUCACUCACUCCCGCACACACUCCCCCCAUCGCCAUGGCGAUGGCACUAGCCCAGCACUGUCACCGGGGGGGAAGCUGGGAAUAUAGCUACACUCUCCAACCCUCCGCUCGCCAAGCUGAUCACGAGCUCGUACACAAGCCCACCAUACUGGGCCUUCCACCGUGGAUAUUCACUAAUUAAAAACACUCAGCACUACGGCUGUGGCAGAAAUCUGCAUCUACUUCCCCACCUGGAUAUGAAAGAGUGACUAUGGAGCUGUGAAAAAAAUCAUCACUUAGCAGGAAAUGGAAAUUCACUCUAUGUGUCACAGACCUGAGGCAUUAGAAUCAGUAAUUACACUAAGACCCACGUGAGAUUGACCACAUUUUUGGAAAGGUUUUUUAAAUCAGCACUGCUUUCACUUAUCCAUGUCUUUGUCCAAACUUCACUCACUUCUACUCCUUGCACGCAUAACACAUCCAGCCCCAAAACACACACUUUACCCAGGCUUCUUCAAGAUAGCCUUGACAGCUCUGAAGACAAAACUUCCCUUCAGUAAUCCAUUACUAUCAAUGAUUUUCUGCUUGUGUUUUCUGACUUUAAAUGUCAUGGAGUAUGGUGAAUGUCACACAGAUCUUGGAGGAUUUUCAGGAGGUCUCAUGCAUUUUGAAGAAACACUGCAACCAAAAUUGUUCUUAUUCAAACAUCUUUUAAAUCAUUUUGGUUACAUUUUAGCAUAGCAAGGCUCCAUCAGUCAUUCCACUAUAGGAAGAUAUUACAUAGGCAGUGAGAAAAAUAUCUCAGUCAAACCAAGGACAUCAUGGUGAUUCAUACCACCGCCUGAUUUACUUUUAAUGAGUUCUGCUCUUGUCAGAAUCUUGGAGAAUUUUCCUACACCAUCCAAUUAUAAAGGAAAAUGACCAUUUUUUCAUUUCAUUCAUGGAAAACGUAUACUUAAUGUUUCUUUUCGUCAAACCAGCUGUUUUUAAAAACAAAACAUGCAAAUAGACAAGUAGACAAACAUCAGAACUGUAAAUUUUGACACGAAUACAUGCAUUCCUUUUUAUUCACAAAACCAGUCCAAUUUUCUAAACGAAUACAAAGAUCGGUUAUUUUGAAAAGCUGUAGCUACCCAGCAACAUAACAAAAUCAUGAAAAUAUAACAAAUAAACAAAUAAAAAAAAAAUUUCAUCUUGUCUCAGUGCGUUCAGUAGGGUAGACUCAGAGCAAGUGCUGUCUCUUAAUGCUAUUGCCCUGAGCAAUAUUGGCACAUGCUCAGUAGGGCCACAGUAACAUAAGGCUGCCAGUUUCACUAAAGGAAAAGUUUGGAAAUGCAGAAGAGGGCUGAUUUAGGAGUUUACAGUAGUGACGGCUCUGGCGAACAGCAUCUUCGACCCAGUGAAGAGUCCCUGGAGAUCUGCCCAAUAACAUGACUUCUUCAGUUUCGUUUAAAUCCGAAAUUGGCAGCUUCACAAUUUGAAACAUUUUCUUUGUCUUUCAAAGACAACCACUGAUCUGUCUGGAAACUAUACUCGUCAACGAAAUGAAUCAUGAAAUAGACAAGGGUUUAAGUAACAUAAUGGUGAAGAAUUACAAUAACGUUUUUGCCAUUAGCCACUAGUUUUGAAAUAUAGCUGUAAAUUUACAUUCUCUACACAAGUACUGUAUCUUUCCACACAUGAACAACAUUAACACCAAACACAGAAAUUUGUUGAUUGUCCACACUCGGUCCGUCAUUUCUGUUUCUGGCAAUGAACAGUUCCAUGUUUAAGCGACAGAAAAAAACCUGCUGGAAAAAGGACAAAAGGUACCAAAAUGGAAACAUAGAAAAGGGAAUGAAAAUUGCCAUAGAUGCUUUUCUUUACGCUUCAUUUUUGGUUCAAGGAAUAAGUAGGUGCAUCCAUUACCCGAUUGAUUUUUUUGUCGUUGUUGUUCUGUUUUGUUUUUUUGUUGUUUUUUUUUUUCCUAUAAUUUUUUUUGUUGCUUGUUUGUUUAUUAGCCAGUGUCUGUUCCGGAGACAAUCCAGGAGUUGGCAUUGCACUUGAUGGCAGAGCUUUGGGUAGGGAGU